AACGAACGCUGGCGGCAUGCCUAACACAUGCAAGUCGAACGAGAUCUUCGGGUCUAGUGGCGCACGGGUGCGUAACGCGUGGGAAUCUGCCCUUUGGUUCGGAAUAGCAGUUGGAAACGACUGCUAAUACCGGAUGAUGACGAAAGUCCAAAGAUUUAUCGCCAGGGGAUGAGCCCGCGUAGGAUUAGCUAGUUGGUGUGGUAAAGGCGCACCAAGGCGACGAUCCUUAGCUGGUCUGAGAGGAUGAUCAGCCACACUGGGACGGAGACACGGCGCAGACUCCUACGGGAGGCAGCAGUGGGGAAUAUUGGACAAUGGGCGAAAGCCUGAUCCAGCAAUGCCGCGUGAGUGAUGAAGGCCUUAGGGUUGUAAAGCUCUUUUACCCGGGAUGAUAAUGACAGUACCGGGAGAAUAAGCUCCGGCUAACUCCGUGCCAGCAGCCGCCGUAA
rnacentral:rRNA from 1 species